AACUGUUGUAGAACAGGAGAAGC
rnacentral:miRNA from 1 species